rnacentral:rRNA from 1 species
AUUGAACGCUGGCGGCAUGCCUUACACAUGCAAGUCGAACGGUAACGCGGGGGCAACCCUGGCGACGAGUGGCGAACGGGUGAGUAAUACAUCGGAACGUACCCAGUAGUGGGGGAUAGCUCGGCGAAAGCCGGAUUAAUACCGCAUACGACCUAUGGGUGAAAGCGGGGGAUCGCAAGACCUCGCGCUAUUGGAGCGGCCGAUGUCGGAUUAGCUAGUUGGUGAGGUAAAGGCNCACCAAGGCUACGAUCCGUAGCUGGUCUGAGAGGACGACCAGCCACACUGGGACUGAGACACGGCCCAGACUCCUACGGGAGGCAGCAGGUGGGGAAUUUUUGGACAAUGGGCGAAAGCCUGAUCCAGCCAUGCCGCGUGUGUGAAGAAGGCC